AAUGCUCUCUGCUCUCAUCGUCUUCUUCCUUUAAGAGGCGUUUGUUUAAUCACUUCCGACGAAAUCAAGGUCAAGAGAAAAAUCAAUUAAUCACUUGCGAGGAGAGAUCCACAGUCUGUAGAUAAGUUCUCUUCACUUAUUAUAUAUGAGUUUCUAGAUCUUUCUUUGCCUUUCUGAUUUUCCCGUUUUAGGGUUUUCAAUUUCGAUUGUAUUGACUUUGUUUUGUUUUGUUUUUUUCAUCCUUCAGUGACGAUCAAUCACUUCCCCAGUUCCCAAGAAAUCGCCAUCUCUAGUCGGGAUAAAUCGGAGGAUGAAGUCGAUCGAGCCUUUGCCUGAGGGUGUUCAUCACUCCAAGCGUUCUGGAAUUAUCAUGUUUGAGAUGAAGAGGGUCAUUGGAGGAACUCGUGUUCAACAGUCUAGAUAAUGGUUUCUUUCUUCGUGGGUGUUGUUUCGUGCUCUAUAAAGGUUGUUGAUGAUGGAUCAGGCGUUUCCAGAGAUGCUUUGGUUUUGUUGGGAAAAAGAUACAGUAAGUUGUGGCGAUCUUUUAUGUUUGAUGCACUGAUAAAGACCACUUCUUAGUCUUCGAUUGAGAACAGCUACUUCGAAGUUUGGAUUCCGUGGAGAGGUGUUAGCGUUAGCUUCAAUAUCAGAUAUCUCGAUACUGGAAAUCAGGACAAAACCUAUUGCGAAGCCUAAUGGUUAUCGAAAGGUUAUGAAGGUAUGGGAUGACUUUGAUGCUACUCAAUACUCAUACAUAGUUUGUGUUAGCGUUAGGUUAUAAUUAUGGUUUUAA